rnacentral:misc_RNA from 1 species
UCUCCGUAGGUGAACCUGCGGAAGGAUCAUUCAUAAUAAAGUGUUUUAUGGCACUUUUUAAAAAUCCUUAUCCUCUUUGUGUGCAAUGUUAGAUCUCGUCAAUCUUGGCGAGAUUUUUAUACAUCAACUCAUUCUUUAACUAAUUUGUCUGAAAAAUAUUAUGAAUACUAAAUUCAAAAUACAACUUUCAACAACGGAUCUCUUGGCUCUC